rnacentral:rRNA from 1 species
UAACGAAUAUUGGGCAAUGGGCGAAAGCCUGACCCAGCAAUGCCGCGUGCAGGACGAAGUCCUUCGGGAUGUAAACUGCUGUCAGGGGUCCGCAAGCGAAGGGGUCCAACAGGCCCUGGAGUUGAGCAGCCCCAGAGGAAGCACCGGCUAACUCCGUGCCAGCAGCCGCGGUAAUACGGAGGGUGCAAGCGUUAUUCGGAAUUACUGGGCGUAAAGGGCGUGCAGGCGGGAGAGCAAGUCUGAUGUGAAAGCCCGGGGCUUAACCCCGGAAGGGCAUUGGAAACUGCUUUUCUUGAGUUCUGGAGAGGAAGGGAGAAUUCCCGGUGUAGAGGUGAAAGUCGUAGAGAUCGGGAGGAACAUCAGUGGCGAAGGCGCCCUUCUGGACAGCAACUGACGCUGAGACGCGAAAGCGUGGGGAGCAAACA